CAAAUACUCCCUCCGUUCCAAAUUACUCGUCAUAGAAAUGGAUGUAUCUAGAACUAAAAUACAUCUAGAUACAUCCAUUUCUGCGACGAGUAAUUCGGAACGGAGGGAGUAUAUU
rnacentral:pre_miRNA from 1 species